rnacentral:lncRNA from 1 species
CCAGUGUAAAACUAAAUAAUGCAUGAGUAAUGUUUGAUUCUUGCACUCUAGACAAAUGGUCAAUCCCUUCCACACUCUCGUAUCUCAAUCAGUUGGGAUAAUCAUAGGUAAAUUGUGACAAUCUUUUCGUGUCCUAUAGGUAAAUUGUGACAAUCAGUUGGGAUAAUCAUAGGUAAAUUGCGACAAUCAGUUGGGAUAAUCAUAGGUAAAUUGUGACAAUCAGUUACGAUAAUCAUAGGCUGCCACCUCUGAUGCACCAGCCAACAAUCAGUUGGGACAAUCAUAGGUAAAUUGUGACAAUCAGUUGGGAUUAUCAUAGGUAAAUU